GUAUACUGCCCUCUGGUGGUGACUGCCGGUAUGAGCCUGUUUAUUAAGUAUACUGCCCUCUGGUGGUCAAUGCAGGUGUGAGCCUGUUUAUUAAGUAUACUGCCCUCUGGUGGUCAAUGCAGGUGUGAGCCAUACACACAAACAUCCUGUAUAGAACUGUAAAUAGUGAAAUAGUAUGAGUUACAUUCUGGAGGAAGACUCAACUGAAACAUGGUGGUAUUUAGUGUGUGUUUCCAAGUACUGAGGCUGUAUCUCAUUCUAGGCCACACACACACACACCUGUACGUGUGUGUACCUCUCUCUACCUGCCUCUGUAAACAACCCUCCUGCCAUCUAAUCCACCAAGCCACUAGGACACAGAAUCUGACUGCAAAACGGCCCCCUGCACUCUGCAAAACGGCCCCCUGCACUCUGCAAAACGGCCCCUGCACUCUGCAAAACGGCCCCCUGCACUCUGCAAAACGGCCCCCUGCACUCUGCAAAACGGCCCCUGCACUCUGCAAAACGGCCCCCUGCACUCUGCAAACGGCCCCCUGCACUCUGCAAAACGGCCCCCUGCGCUCUGCAAAACGCUCCAACAUUCCUGUAACAUCGGGAGUUUUAAACUUCACUGCAAAGGGCUGUUGUGCAGACGGACCAUGUGGCCUGAAGCGGAAUCAGAAAGCCAUGUUGUGGAGUAACCACUCUCUGUAGAUAGAUUUAGCCAUCACUGUACAGCAGUGACAUGUUAACAUUUAGCCUGUGUUAAGAGCCACGUUAACUAACUACAUGUAUGACUACAACAUGAAAUCGUGAGCUCUCUCUCGAGUGUGUUCAUGUGUUCUGUGUGUGUUUGCGUGCGUCUAACGCACAUGUAAAUAUGAGUCCAGGACCGAACGGAACAUGGUGGAAUUCCAAACAUUCUGAAAUCAGAUUCCGAUUCCAGAUUCCCAGAGAAAGAGUUUGCGUUCCCAAACUAACUCUGGGACUCAAUGAAAAGACGAAGGGAUAUGGGAGAGCUCACCUGUGGGCUCAUAACUCUGUAUAAAUGAGGGAUGUGACCUCUCCUAAACUGAAGGACAUGGGGGAGCUCAUCUGUGGGUUCACAGCUCUGUAUAAUAAGGGAUGUGAUCUCUCCUAAACUGAAGGACAUGGUAGAGGUCAUCUGUGGGCUAACAGCUCUGUAUAAUAAGGGAUGUGACCUCUCCUAAACUGAAGGACAUGGGAGAGCUCACCUGUGCCAAAAUAACAGAAUAAUGAGGGAUGCUUUAUCCCGUCAUUCCUUUUUCUAAGUUCCUUAAUUCUCAGAAAGGGAAAAUAAAUGCUGGAUAAUGUUGGAUCAUACGUUGAAAGACAGAGAAAGACUCUUAAAAUAAAAUGUGUUUUUUAAUUUAGUUUAAAAAAAUGUAACUUGAUAAUGAAGAAUUGGGGUGCUGUGACCAACUUUCUCUUUCAAUAAAUAAACAUUUACUUCAUUUUUAUUAUUUCGUCAAACAGGGAUCUUCUUAAACGACCUGACUAAAGGUCACGAUGAGGUUAGAGGUCACAACCUUUCUCAAAACAGGACGUUUUUUUCUUCUUCUUCUUCUUCUUCUCGGAAGCACAAACGAUCUUCGCGGUAACUAUGGAGACGGAAAAGAAGAACACUCACACGGCGACGUAACGUGUGUGUGUGUGUUGUGGGAACGCUUAGAGCCUCGUGGAACAUGGUGAAGUGAAAGGAAACCUCUCCUUAACCUAGGUUAGGGGCCAACCAUAGAGUAAGAUACUUGACUAGGUACUCUAUCUAACUCUAUGGGGCUGCCAGUCGUUUAUCUCUACGGGCCGACCAUAGUUAGACAGAGGACUCUCUAAACACCCUCUUACCUUACUAGGUACUCUAACUCUAUGGGGCUGCCAGUCGUUUAGCUCUAGGGGCCAACCAUAGUUAGACAGAGGACUCUCUAAACACCCUCUUACCUUACUAGGUACUCUAACUAACUCUAUGGGGCUUCCAGUAGUUUAUCUCUAGGGGCCGACCAUAGAGUAAAAUAGAGGACUAAAGUUAAAUCUUACUUUACUAGGUACUCUAUCUAGCUCUAUGAGGCUGCCAGUAGUUUAUCUCUAGGGGCCGGCCAUAGAGUAAGAUAGAGGACUCUAAAGUUCACUCUUACUUUACUAGGUACUCUAUCUAACUCUAUGGGUCUGCCAGUCGUUCUCUCUCUCGCUACUAUGUGCCGUGAAGUGUAUGAUGAUAAUAGUCUAGCUGUAAUCUCUCUCAUCACUCUUGUGUGUGAUGGCUCGUCCAGUGUAGUCUUGGUAUUGCUCUCUUCUCUCCUGUGUGUGCUGUCUGUCUGUACGUACAGUACAGUGGUCUGUGUGUGCUGUCUGUCUGUACAGUACAGUACAGUGGUCUGUGUGUGCUGUCUGUCUGUACGUACAGUACAGUGGUCUGUGUGUGCUGUCUGUCUGUACAGUUCAGUACAGUGGUCUGUGUUGCCAGCAAAUGAAGGGUCGUUAUUAUUAUCCAAUCUUCCUCUAAGAAACACACACACACUAACGUUCAUUGCAGACCCACACAUUGCAGACACACACAUUGUAGACACAGACAGUAUUCUUUAUAUCUAGCCAUAGUCCUGUGAACUGUCUCACACUCACCAUAGAACUACAGUACCCAUACACCCUCACUCCUGUAAAUUUGACACUGGUUAGCAUUUGCAUCAUGGGAAAUGUAGUGUAUUAACUAGAGGGAUUUCCAGUUAAUGGGAGAAAGAGUCCAUAGGAAUGCUCGUUCAAACGAUCUUGAUUAACUCGCUCCAGGUAGAAGUUGCCUUUAACCACAGAUCUAGGAUCAAUUUACUCUCCCAUUGUCCUAAUCUUAACCAUUAGGCGGAACACACACACAAAAAAAAAUCUUAGAUCAGUGUCUAGGAAGCAACUUCAUCCUACACUGACAAGCUCAGUGUGUGUGUGUGUGUGUGUGUGUGUGUAUAUAAUUUAAUGUGAAUGAAAGACCAGCGAGACAAUCGUAACUGGCGUGAUUCCACUUGUUCUUAAUGUUCUGUUUAUCACGUCACCAUGACAACGCUACCUAUACUACGGCGUCUUGCACGACGGGAGGAGGACCGAAAAAAUAAAUAUAUAUAUAUAUAUAUACUGUUGGAAACUAAAAGAACCAAUGGCCUUUUCUUAAACUUGUAACAAUCUAACAACUCUUCAUAUCACACGUCUGUCUUCUAAAAAAAAAAUGAAUCAUAAAAAAACAAACUAUAGCUAGCUCUUUUUGUAGGGUAAUAAUUAUUAUUAUUAUGGUAAGAGCACCAUUUGUUUUCUGUUUUUCUUGAAUUGCAUUUUUAUUUUUUAUAAAACCGUACUGUAGACUUGUUACAUUUUUUUGAUGGUUGUUUUUAUGUACCUGGCUACAAUAACGGUUUACUAAGACGAUAAUACUGUCUGUUCUCAACUGUGGUGGUGACAUUAUUGAGCCUGGAAUCCAUGUUUUAAAAACAGAAUUAAAACAACUUUGACUCAGAA